CGGUAACCCCUCCCGACCCGGUGGGUUCCCGGGGGCCAACAGCCCGGGCCCCGUAGCCGACCUGUACGGACCCAGCAGCCAGGAGUCCGCUGUGGGGAACUACAUCAGCGCCGCCAGCCCCCAGCCUGGAGCCGGCUUCGGCCCCAGCAUCACUGGCCCGUUGAUUGCGACAGCUUUCACAAACGGAUAUCACUGAGCCGCCGCUCGGUCGCACCAGAGAGCGUGUCUGGUGUGGUGAGGAAGACGAGCUGAGGUGUGUAGUUGGCUGUAUGUUCGGGGGCCACCAACACCUCGGCCCUGCCACAACCCCACCCCCAAUCCCCCCCCCCCCCACCCCCACCCCUCCCACCGGAAGACCCCGGGGAGCCCCAGACCGUACGAAGAAACGAAAAGAAAAGAAAAAAAAAAGUUAGUCAUCUCAGAAAAAAAGGAACAGCUGCUGUACUAUAGACCUCUAGAAGCUCACCUGGUUCGGUAUGUUUCCAAUCGACUUCACUCACCUCCUUCCUCCCUUCUGUUCGGACCUGUUGAUAGAGAGUCGUUUCAGUUGAUCUAUCGUUUCUCGUGUCAUUUCCUUUGACCUGAUAGUAUACUUGUGGAAAUGGGUUUUGUUUGAAUUCGGAGGGGUGGGAGUUACAGCCAAGAAUAUUUGCAAAGUCAUGUCUUCACUUUUGUAUCGAUUCUAGCAAGGAAAAAAAAUAAUAAUUGGAGAAAUGUUGUGUCUAUGCACAAAAAGCCAAUUGAGAGUGAAAAGACUGAAAAUUAUUUAAUUUUAAAUUCAAUGAAAUUCAAUGAAAUUGCAGAGGGUCUCUUAGUCAUAAUUCUAAGUAGCGGUUUUAAUUCUUGUGACGUCUCAUUGUUAACCAUAAUUACCUAUUUUCGGGCAAUACAAAGAGGACUCCAAUAUUUUUAUGGUCCUUUUUUAUAAGUGUUGUUUUGUUGAUUAGAAAAUAUAUAUAUAUGCUAUAACAAAUUUCAUAUAACUACAUUGUGAAUUCAAACUUGAAGAAAAGAAAUGUAGCUGUACAUAUUAUUCCAGUCACUGCAUAUAACCAACUUAAUGAGAGAAUAGCAUAUUUUUGUGAUGGUGUGUCAAAGAAAAUGUUAUAGCGUGUGAAUAGAAAAAAAAAAAGAAAAAUCCGUAAACAAUUAUCGUCCUACUGCUGGAAAACGGAAGCCAGUGCGACAGAACACAAGCUCUGUGUAUAUACUCUGCUGAAUAAUUUUACAAGUGUCAUACCAGCAAAUUUUCAAAUGGUGAGUAAAGCAAAGCAAGCGCAGUUUUGACGACGAGAAGGUUCCUCGCUGGCAUCUUUGGUCUCACUGUUAAAGAUAUAAUUUCAAAGAUGAAAAAAAAAAAAGAUUGAAUCCAAAGCACACCGUUCCUUGGGCCGUAUUUACUCAACAGUUUG